rnacentral:rRNA from 1 species
AUGGCGACGGCAGCAGCGACUCCUCCCCAUGGCGGCCUCCCGGAGGAGAUCGUGAUAUGGGAGAUCCUCGUCCGCCUCCCCCCAAAAUCCCUCCUCCGCUGCCGCGCCGUCUGCCGCGCCUGGCGCAGCGCCACCUCCGCCCGCGACUUCCUCGCCGCCCACCACGACCAUCAGCCCAACCUCCCCAUCGUCUUCCAGGUAUACCGCGGCGGCCAAAGCUUACUCGCCUUGGACAACCAGGGCGCCGCCGCCCCCCAGCUCCAACCCGUCGCUCGUCUUGACGACCACUCCAGUCUGGAAGCCUCCUGUGACGGUGUACUCCUCCUCGCCGACUAUGGCAGGGGUGUUUCAACCUUCUCUGUCUGCAACCCAGCCACUCGUCAGUUUGCUCGCUUGCCGAUGCUUUCUGGCUUCGUGUCUCUGGGGAUGUAUCGGCACGGCCCGACCGGCGAGUACCGAAUACUCGUGUGCCCGAGAGAUGAAGAUCCGGCGACUGAUGCCUGCUACAUCUUCACAUUGGGCUCCGUCCAUCCACUGAAGAACAUCGGAUGGCUGCCGGAGGUGGAGGAAAUGUCUUCCACUGGUUUAGUACCUGUUCUCUUCCGUGGUAGCCUGCAUUGGCACCUACAGCAGUAUGAGAGCGCAGACAAAGUGAUAAUGGCAUUCGACACCACAGCUGAGUCGUUCCGGCGGAUGCGUGGUCCAGUCGUUCCUACCAGCGAUGGCCUGUUUGCUGGCAUGUUUGAAAUGGACGGCAUCCUCGGCAUGGCCUGCUCUAAUGAUGAAGGCAAAAUCAUUGGCAUCUGGAUGAUGCAGGACUAUGAAAGCGAGGUCUGGACCUUAAAAUACCGCUUUGAAUUGCCGUUUGAGGAGAUCAAGGUGCAGUGUGACAUGAGGCAGGUUAGGGUGAAGCGUGGCGAUAUGUUGAUUGUCGUUGUGCCCGGCGGCGAUGGUGAGUUGCUUGUGCUAUCACGAUUUGACGAUGUGCUGUUCCAGAUUAACAUGGAUGGCAAGUUGGUUGAAAGUUUCCACCGUGAAGGCCUCUGUCUUACUCAACUUCAGCUCAAACAAACUCUUGCUCUGCAUACAUUCCUUCCGGCGCUAGAGGGUUAUGUUGUGAAUGCUCCACCUUUCAGCUGA